AGUGAACGCUGGCGGUAGGCCUAACACAUGCAAGUCGAACGGCAGCACAGUAAGAGCUUGCUCUUACGGGUGGCGAGUGGCGGACGGGUGAGGAAUACAUCGGAGUCUACUUUUUCGUAGGGGAUAACGUAGGGAAACUUACGCUAAUACCGCAUACGACCUACGGGUGAAAGCAGGGGAUCUUCGGACCUUGCGCGAUUGAAUGAGCCGAUGUCGGAUUAGCUAGUUGGCGGGGUAAAGGCCCACCAAGGCGACGAUCCGUAGCUGGUCUGAGAGGAUGAUCAGCCACACUGGAACUGAGACACGGUCCAGACUCCUACGGGAGGCAGCAGUGGGGAAUAUUGGACAACGGGCGCAAGCCUGAUCCAGCCAUGCCGCGUGGGUGAAGAAGGCCUUCGGGUUGUAAAGCCCUUUUGUUGGGAAAGAAAAGCAGCAGGUUAAUACCCCGCUGUUCUGACGGUACCCAAAGAAUAAGCACCGGCUAACUUCGUG
rnacentral:rRNA from 1 species